AGCCGCGCAUCACCUCCCCAGCCGGGAGAGGGUCGCGGGGGCUGCUUUAGCCCGCGCGCACUCUCCCGGCUGGGAGGUGACGCGCGGCU
rnacentral:miRNA from 1 species